rnacentral:lncRNA from 1 species
AUCUACUAUCUAUCUAUCUAUCUAUCUAUCUAUCUAUCUAUCAUCUAUCUAUCUAUCGAUCGAUCUGCCAAGAAGUAUAUCGCAUGGAAAAGAAUCACAACUUUUUCCAAAAAUUGUUCUCUAGAGAAACCCAGAAGCUGCAUUAGGGUCUGGUUCAAGUUAAGUUUAGUCAGAAUUAGCAAGGCCAGGGUGAGGCCGAGGUUAACUCAUUUACUGCCUAUGGGCUGCAGCUGCCCCUGCAUUAAUAUGCCCAUGGAAUUACGCAAGAUUCAAAGAGAGAGACAGAGUUGCUCUGGUUUUCAUGGAUGUAUUCCUCGGUGUUAUUUUAACAUAUUGUUGUUCUUUGAUGCAUGGAGCCCUAGAGGAAGCCCCAUGCUGCCUCUUUCUACUUGCUUUA